rnacentral:rRNA from 1 species
CCCUUAGAUGUUCUGGGCCGCACGCGCGCUACACUGAGUGUCUGAGAUACGAGUCUGCCUGGUCCGGCAAGGUCUAGGUAAUCGCUAAAAGACACAUCAUGCUUGGGAUAGAUUAUUGCAAAUAUUAAUCUUGAACGAGGAAUUCCUAGUAAGCGCAAGUCAACAGCUUGCGUUGAUUACGUCCCUGCCCUUUGUACACACCGCCCGUCGCUACUACUGAUUGGAUGUUUAAGCGAGGUUCUCGAACUGCUAGCGACGUAGCUUCGGUGAGGUCGCAGUGUGGGAAGUGAACCUAGCUUUGGUGUCUAGAGGAAGUAAAAGUCGUAACA